rnacentral:lncRNA from 1 species
GGAUGCGGUGGGAGAAAUCGCUGCUUCUUCAACGCAUGGGAGAAGAUCUUGGACGCUUGGAUAAAGUCUGGGAUGAUACGGAUGACGUGGGAGCGUGGGUCGUUGGGAAGAUGAACACGGUUGAAGCUGGGAGUCCGGGAUGCAUAGGAGAUGAACAUGGAGAAGAUACGUGGGGUGCUGGAACGCGUUCACGGAUUGGGGAGAUGAGGGAUUGAUUUGGUUUGAGGUUUUUAUUCAGCUGGGAACGGGCCAACGGCUCUGUUCUUUGGACGUGGAGGGAUUCGUGGGAUAAGAAUGAUUACAGGGGAGAUACCGUGUGAGAUUUGUUGGACUUGAAGCUGUGGAUAGGCUCGGAAGGAAUCCGUCGUGGGUGAUGAGAGAUUGGAUACGGCUGGGAAU